rnacentral:rRNA from 1 species
UCUUCCGCAAUGGACGAAAGUCUGACGGAGCAACGCCGCGUGUACGACGAAGGCCUUCGGGUUGUAAAGUACUGUCUUCAGGGACGAACGGUAUUUGUGUAAAUAAUGCAGAUACAUGACGGUACCUGAGGAGGAAGCACCGGCUAACUACGUGCCAGCAGCCGCGGUAAUACGUAGGGGGCAAGCGUUGUCCGGAAUCAUUGGGCGUAAAGGGCGCGUAGGCGGAUAAUUAAGUCUGGUGUGAAAACCUAGGGCUCAACCCUGGGACUGCAUCGGAAACUGGUUAUCUUGAGGACAGGAGAGGAAAGUGGAAUUCCACGUGUAGCGGUGAAAUGCGUAGAUAUGUGGAGGAACACCAGUGGCGAAGGCGACUUUCUGGACUGUAACUGACGCUGAGGCGCGAAAGCGUGGGGAGCAAACAGG